CCCAGACUCCUACGGGAGGCAGCAGUGGGGAAUAUUGCACAAUGGGGGGAACCCUGAUGCAGCGACGCCGCGUGGGUGAAGGAGUACUUCGGUACGUAAAGCCCUAUCAGCAGGAAAGAAAAUGACGGUACCUGACUAAGAAGCCCCGGCUAACUACGUGCCAGCAGCCGCGGUAAUACGUAGGGGGCAAGCGUUAUCCGGAUUUACUGGGUGUAAAGGGAGCGUAGACGGCAGUGCAAGUCCGGAGUGAAAGCCCGGGGCUCAACCCUGGGACUGCUCUGGAAACUGUAAAGCUGGAGUGCGGGAGGGGCAGGCGGAAUUCCUGGUGUAGCGGUGAAAUGCGUAGAUAUCAGGAGGAACACCGGCGGCGAAGGCGGCCUGCUGGACCGUAACUGACGUUGAGGCUCGAAAGCGUGGGGAGCAAACAGGAUUAGAUACCCUUGUAC
rnacentral:rRNA from 1 species